rnacentral:rRNA from 1 species
UGCCGAGCACUCUAGAAAGACUGCCUACGCAAGUAGUGAGGAAGGUGGGGAUGACGUCAAGUCCGCAUGGCUCUUACGCCUAGGGCCACACACGUGCUACAAUGGCCACUACAAAGGGCUGCAAUACCGCGAGGUGGAGCUAAUCCCUAAAAAGUGGUCUCAGUUCGGAUUGGAGUCUGAAACUCGACUCCAUGAAGCUGGAAUUGCUAGUAAUCGCAGAUCAGCAUGCUGCGGUGAAUACGUUCCCGGGUCUUGUACACACCGCCCGUCACACCAUGGGAGUGGGGUUUACCAGAAGUAGGUAGCUUAACCGCAAGGAGGGCGCUUACCACGGUGAGCUUCAUGACUGGGGUGAAGUCGUAACAAGGUAGCCGUAUCGGAAGGUGC